rnacentral:piRNA from 1 species
UGCUAAGAUGUGUCCAAAAAGNGUAUGGC